rnacentral:rRNA from 1 species
UGGGGAAUAUUGGACAAUGGGGGCAACCCUGAUCCAGCAAUGCCGCGUGUGUGAAGAAGGCCUGCGGGUUGUAAAGCACUUUUGGCAGGGAUGAAAAGCACUGGAUUAAUAACCCAGUGUGUUGACCUAACCUGCAGAAGAAGCACCGGCUAACUCUGUGCCAGCAGCCGCGGUAAUACAGGGGGUGCGAGCGUUAAUCGGAAUUACUGGGCGUAAAGGGCGCGUAGGCGGUCGAGUAAGUCGGAUGUGAAAUCCCCGGGCUUAACCUGGGAAUUGCAUUCGAUACUGCUUGGCUAGAGUGUGGAAGAGGGGGGUAGAAUUCCACGUGUAGCAGUGAAAUGCGUAGAUAUGUGGAGGAACACCGAUGGCGAAGGCAGCCCCCUGGGUCAAGAUUGACGCUCAUGCACGAAAGCGUGGGGAGCAAACAGGAUUAGAUACCCACGUAGUCCCUGAGCGGGCUGGCAAGGCGCAU